AGGUCUUAGCCAUGAACUCCGGCAGCUGUGAUGUAAUGGGCAGAUCUGGGCUCAGUGUCACUGAAGGGAUUCUGACCCUGCCUUUUACUUGGCAAUCGGGGCAACUUAGUUAACUCUGUAGACUCUCAGUUUCCUCAUCUAUAAAAGGGGUGAUAUGGUCUGGCUCUGUGUCCCCACCCAAAUCUCAUCUUGAAUUGUAAUCUGAAUUGUAAUUGCCACAUGUUGGGGGAGGGACCUGGUGGGAGGUGAUUACAUUAUGGGGGUGGUCUCCCCAGGCUCUUCUUGUGAAACUGAGUUCUCUUGAGAUCUGAUGGUUUUGUAAGGGGCUUCCCCCUUUGCUCCGCACUCAUUCUCUCUCCUGCUGCCCUGUGAAGAGGUGCCUUCUGCCAUGACUUUAAGUUUCCUGAGGCCUCCCCAGCCAUGCAGAACUGCCUGUCAAGCACAGAGACUACCAAGAUGGAGAGGUUGCAGCCCUGGUCCUCAAGAACUUGCCUGCACAUGGAAAAAUAGAAGCUGAGAGGCAGCUGAAAGGCCAUAUAAGGGCAUAGUAAGAAGGCGGCUGUCUACAAGCCAGGAGGAGAGGCCUCACUGAGAAUCAGCCCUGAAGAAACCACAACCUUGGACUUCUGGCCUCCAGAACUGUGAGAAUAAAUGCCUGUUGUUUAAGCCACCGAGUCUGUGGUAUUUUUU
rnacentral:lncRNA from 1 species